UCGGCCGGGGCUGCGGGACUCCCGCGUGCCCCUUGCGUGGCUGCUGGGACCGGCCGUGCCCGGGCCCCGUUAGGGGCGGGAGGGCCCCUGUGCCCCGGCCGGCAGAGCCCUGGGCGUCGGGUGGACAUCGAGCCCUGCUCUUUCGCGCUCGGCACGGACCGAGGCGGGCGGAUCCCGUGCAGAGUCCGUCACGUGGCGGCGGGAGGCAGGAAAUGGUCCGUGAGCGGACGGAGCGUUACGGGCACGGUCAUCAGCGGGGCGGCGUGUCUGCGUCACGGCCCGGGCUCGCGGCACAGCGGGUGGCGAUUCCCCGCCGCCAGUUCACCGGGGGCGGAAUUAAAUGGAGACUUAUUGGAACCUGCGCUUCUCCAUUAAAUAACGCCGUGCCGGCAGUCCCGCGGCCUUGGCGCAGCCUGCGCGCCGCCUACCAGGAGCGCUGCGCCUGCGGGAACGGCGGGGCUGGGAGCAGAGAGCGGGGUGCGGUGGCGCGGGGCCGCUCGGAGCUGCCGGAAUGGUGGCACUGCGUUUGGGCCACUGCAGAAAAUUACACGGCAGGCAGAAUGCUGGGUCCAGCCAUCCAGAGCCCUUGAAGAGACGAGACGCUAGGGACGGUGAGUCCACCGCCUCCCCAGGCAGUCCAUUCCAGUGCGUGACCACUCUUGGAGACGGAAUUUUUCCUAACAUCAACCUGAACCCCCCUGGUGCAACUUGAGGCCGUUCCUUCCAGUCCUGUCACUAUUAUGAAGGAGCAGAGGAUGAAUCCCCUCCUCAAUCCCCACCACAACCUCCCUUCAGGUAGCUGUAGAGAGCAAUGAGGGGAGCCUGAACCUGCUCUUUUCUGGUCUGAACAAUCCCAGCUCCCUCAGCCACUGACAUCUGUGCCCCAGACCCCUCACAGCUUCUCUGCCCUUCUCUGAACACACUCAGUGUCUUUCCUGUAGUGAGGGGCCCAACACUGGUCACAGUACUUGAGGUGAUCCAGCCCUGUCCCCUUCGGAGGUGCUCUGGGAGGUGCCCCCAGUAACCCACCCUGCAGGUGUUGGAGUGCCUGCCCUCCCGCAGCCCCUCCGGCUGCUGUUCUCAUUCUGGUUUCUCCUGCUGCUGGCACCAGCUCACAGCCCACGGUGAGCAUGGGGACACCCGCUCUGCCUGUUCUGGAGGUGGAUAGAUCCUUCUCUGGAGACACCUCCUUGGGACGGCCAUGAACCCCCAGCGAGGGGCUGUGUGCCCACUGUGUGCUCACAGUGAUUGCAGCCGUGGGACAACCACGACAGCCCCAAGGAGCAGCCCUGCACACUGCACCUGGGGAUAUGGGGAGGCUGCGCCCGGGGCACAGGCAGGCUUCAGCCCAUGGCCUGGGAUGGAGACAGUCUGGGGCGUUGGGAGCCUGCAGCCAAGGUCUGGGGCUGCUCCCAGCACAGCCCUCCAGCAGCAAAGGAGUUCACCUACAGCAAAUAAUGGAGAGCGCUAAGAAAAUGCUGAACAUCAGGUGGUGACCUAACUUGACAUAAAUCUGAGUGUUAGAUUUACACUUCUCUGAAAAGAAAAGAAUAAUAAAAAAAGACUUUCUUUGCAAAAAUGAACAUGAUAGAGGCAUUCUCCAUUCAUUAAAACAAGCAAGCAAGCAAA